UACGGAGGGAGCUAGCGUUGUUCGGAAUUACUGGGCGUAAAGCGCGCGUAGGCGGCUUUGUAAGUUAGAGGUGAAAGCCCGGGGCUCAACUCCGGAACUGCCUUUAAGACUGCAUCGCUUGAAUCCAGGAGAGGUGAGUGGAAUUCCGAGUGUAGAGGUGAAAUUCGUAGAUAUUCGGAAGAACACCAGUGGCGAAGGCGGCUCACUGGACUAGUAUUGACGCUGAGGUGCGAAAGCGUGGGGAGCAAACAGG
rnacentral:rRNA from 1 species